rnacentral:pre_miRNA from 1 species
CGAACAAUUGGACCAUCGGUCUCCCGAACAAGUUCACGCGCUCGGUGGAAGAUCUUCCCUUGUGUCAG